rnacentral:rRNA from 1 species
AACGCGAAGAACCUUACCUGGUCUUGACAUCCAUGGAAUCCUAUAGAGAUAUGGGAGUGCCUUCGGGAAUCAUGAGACAGGUGCUGCAUGGCUGUCGUCAGCUCGUGUCGUGAGAUGUUGGGUUAAGUCCCGUAACGAGCGCAACCCUUGUUGUUAGUUGCUAGCGAGUAGUGUCGAGCACUCUAAUGAGACUGCCAGUGACAAGCUGGAGGAAGGUGGGGACGACGUCAAGUCAUCAUGGCCUUUAUGACCAGGGCUACACACGUGCUACAAUGGGCUGAACAAAGGGAAGCGAACCCGCGAGGGGAAGCGGAUCUCAAAAAACAGUUCGUAGUCCGGAUUGGAGUCUGCAACUCGACUCCAUGAAGUUGGAAUCGCUAGUAAUCGCGGAUCAGAAUGCCGCGGUGAAUACGUUCCCGGGCCUUGUACACACCGCUCGUC